CGUGCAGGCGGUUGCUUAAGUCUGAUGUGAAAGCCCUGGGCUCAACCCGGGAAGUGCAUUGGAAACUGGGCAACUUGAGUACGGGAGAGGAUAGUGGAAUUCCGAGUGUAGGGGUGAAAUCCGUAGAUAUUCGGAGGAACACCGGUGGCGAAGGCGGCUAUCUGGACCCGAUACUGACGCUGAGACGCGAAAGCGUGGGGAGCAAACA
rnacentral:rRNA from 1 species